GCGUUCAGUACCUGCAAUUGGCCCGAACCCGGGUGACCUACCCAUGAUCAGGCUGAAGGAAAGUAAAAUUUCAGGAGGGCCGACCCGACCUCCGUUGAAAAGGCGGCGGAUGAAUUGUGGGUAGCGGAGAAAUUCAAUCGAACUCGGAGAUAGCUGGUUCUCCCCGAAAUAGCUUUAGGGCUAGCCUCAUAUUAGAUACCCGGAGGUAAAGCACUGAAUGGCCUAGCGCCCGAGAGGGUAGCGAAGCCUAUCAAACUAAGAAUGCCGGAGUAUUGAUGUAUGGGAGUCAGACAGUGUGAGAUAAAUCUCAUUGUCAAAAGGGAAACAGCCCAGAUCUACAGCUAAGGUCCCAAAUUGUAUCUAAGUGGAAAACGAUGUGGAAAUACGCAGACAACCAGGAUGUUGGCUCAGAAGCAGCCACUCAUUUAAAGAGUGCGUAAUAGCUCACUGGUCGAGCGUCUCUGCGCGGAAAAUUUAACGGGGCUAAGAUACAAACCGAAGCUUAGGCUGCACGUAAGUGCGGGGUAGGGGAGCGUUGUGUAAGCGGAGAAACAGUAGCGUAAGCGGCUGUGGAGUUUACAGAAGUGAGAAUGCCGGAAUGAGUAGCGCGAAUGUGGUGAGAAUCCACAUGGCCGGAAACCUCAGGUUUUUGGAGGAAGGUUCGUCCGCUCCAAGUUAGGCGGGAGCUAAGGUCAGGCCGAAAGGCGUAGCCGAUGCACAGACGGUAGAGAUUCCGUCCCCACCGAAAGAUUUAAGCACAGGGACACUUUUUGAAGGUCGGAGCCAGGUGUUGGUUCUGGUAGUGAUCGAGGGAAAUAUAGUACCGAAGUCCGGCUGGAGGAGAGGCGAGAAAAGCUGUGUGUAUAUCUAAGGUGCCCGUACCGCAAACCGACACAGGUAGGUAGGAAGAAGAUUCUAAGGCCAACGGGAGAAGGGUUGUUAAGGAACUCGGCAAGUUGACCCCGUAACUUCGGAAUAAGGGGUGCUCACGAGAGUGAGCCGCAGAGAAUAGGCCCAGGCAACUGUUUACCAAAAACACAGGUUUGUGCUAAAUCGAAAGAUGACGUAUACGAGCUGACGCCUGCCCGGUGCUGGAAGGUUAAAAGGAGAUGUGCAAGCAUUGAAUUGAAGCCCCAGUGAACGGCGGCCGUAACUAUAACGGUCCUAAGGUAGCGAAAUUCCUUGUCAGGUAAGUUCUGACCCGCAUGAAAGGCGUAAUGAUCUGGGCACUGUCUCAACAGCCCGCCCGGCGAAAUUGUAGUACCGGUGAAGAUGCCGGUUACCCGCGACAAGACGGAAAGACCCCAUGGAGCUUUACUGUAGCCUGAUAUUGGGUUUCGGUGUUGCAUGCACAGGAUAGAUGGGACGCUAGGAAAGAAGCGCUUUGGCGUUUCUGGAGCGGACGUUGGGAUACCAUCCUUGCGACAUUGGAAUUCUAACCUGCGCCUCUGAAUCGAGGCGGGGGACAUUGUCAGGUGGGCAGUUUGACUGGGGCGGUCGCCUCCUAAAAAGUAGCGGAGGCGUUCAAAGGUUCGUUCGAUCUGGACGGAAACCAGAUGAUUGAGUGCAAACGCAUAAACGAGCCUGACUGCGAGACUGACGGGUCGAGCAGAGACGAAAGUCGGAGUUAGUGAUCCGGUGGUAUGUGAGUGGAAAUGCCAUCGCUCAACGGAUAAAAGUUACCCUGGGGAUAACAGGCUGAUCUCCCCCAAGAGUCCACAUCGACGGGGAGGUUUGGCACCUCGAUGUCGGCUCAUCGCAUCCUGGGGCUGAAUUCGGUCCCAAGGGUUUGGCUGUUCGCCAAUUAAAGCGGUACGCGAGCUGGGUUCAGAACGUCGUGAGACAGUUCGGUCCCUAUCUGUCGUGGGCGCAGGAUAUUUGAAAGGCGCUGUCCCUAGUACGAGAGGACCGGGAUGGACGAACCUCUGGUGCACCAGUUGUCACGCCAGUGGCACAGCUGGGCAGCUAUGUUCGGAUCGGAUAAACGCUGAAAGCAUCUAAGCGUGAAGCCGGCCUUAAGAUAAGAUAUCCCACUGAGUCAAUCAGGUAAGACCCCUUGA
rnacentral:rRNA from 1 species